AGUCAAAUGUAAAAUUAUACCCCACUUUCAGUCAAAUGCAAAACCAACCUAAAAGGGUGGUAAAAGUACUAUUUAACCCUUAUGACCAAACAAAAAAAAUAAAUGUAUUUUACAUUUAUGUCCUUCGUAAGUCUACAUAUAACAGAAAGAAGUCUACAUACAUGUAGACUUCAUACGAACUCUACCUUGUAGAUUUAUUAUAUAGUCUACAUUUUAAUUUGAUCUAAUAAUUUAAUUUUAAAAAUGUAUAAAAAUAUUUGUUAUGAAAUUUUUAGUUAACCUUCAAUAUAAGGGUUAAUAUAAGGUUUAUAAAUUAAAAGUUUAUAUAAUUUAACAAUUUAAGAGAAUAUAUAUUGAUUUGGUAACCAUGUGUUAGAACAUUGGUUAUGGUAUAGCAACAAAAGGUUCUAACAUAUUAUGUCUAUAAGGGUUAGAUUCUUAGGGUUAGAUUUUAGAUUGAGAUUUUUUUAUUAAUUUAAAUUUGUAUAUUAGUGUUGAGUAGUUUAUAUUUUGCAAAUUUUGAUAUUUGAUACAAUAGAUAGGAUUUUUUUGAUUAUCAAGCAAAUAUUUAGGGUUUGAGAUUUGUGAUUUAGGGUUUCGUAGACUUACAAUAAAGUCUACUUCACUGUAGACGAUUUUUUCUGUCUAUGUUAAUCGGUUUUACAAAAAAUAUUAUUUUAAAAUUAAAUUUAGUUCUUUAUGAAUAAAAAUGUGAAAUCAUAUAUUAUAACUAUUAAAAAAAAUUUAGUAAAUCAUAUAUUAAAAUUAUUAAAACAAUAAACUAUUAAAAUAGUUAAGAACAAAAGAAAUUUAAAUCAUAUAUUAUACUUAAAUAUAAUAAAAGAUAAAUAUCAAAAAAUCAUAGUAGACUUAUUUACAAGUCUACCAAACCGAAAAUAAUUUAUGCUAACCAGACUUUAACCAAAAUAGUUUAAUUUAACCAAACUUAAACCAGGAAAAUUUUAACCUAACCGGAUCACGUACCCCACAUAUAAAUACACUUUCUUUUGUGAAAUUAGGUUAAAAUCACAAAACCUAGCGCCGUUGCUCUUUCUCUCAGACAAGGCGAUUUCCGGCACGAUUUUCGGCACAUUUCCAGCGGUCUUCAAGUAGUUUCCAUCACCGUCCUGUCGUCGCUGCAACAUCUUCCCUCUGACAUGAUCUGGUUGGUUUCACGGCGAGCAGUGCUUCUGGUCUCAGAUGUGGGAGAUGUUGAAAGUAUCCACCCCGAAGACAACUCAUCACAAUGAUCUUGUUAGCUUCUCAGCUCUUGGCAUGGCUCGGUCUUGACGUUUAAGAGAGAUUCUCCACUGGUUGUAGACAUGACAACAUCAAUCCUGAAACUCUGAGACGAGAAAAUUGCAAGACGGGUGGAAGCUUUGUAUCCGAGUAUGCAGACCAUGUAUAUAUACUUCUCAAAUGCAGCACAUGAAGGAUAUUGCUGGUACUUUGGCGGCAGAAGAUGCUGGCCAAGUGGCUAAGCUUCGAUCAGUUCUGGAGUCCGUUGACCACAAAAGAAGAAAGAUUUUACAACAAAUGAGAGGUGAUGCACAUUUGCUUAACUUGGAAGAAGGCAGUCCUCCUAUUCAACCCAAGUUCUUCAGCCCCAUUCAUCAUAAAAUGUGGAGGUAACACCAACUCAGAGCUAGUGAUCAAGGCUGAUGCACGCGUUCAAGAGCCCAAAGGGAGGUGAACUUGAAAGAGUUAUCCCAAGAGCUUCUGUUUUAGUAAAGCAUGAGCUACCAAGGCUCUACAAUUUGGCGCAUUGUGAUCUUAUAUAUUAUUUUCGGCGACUGGCCAAAUUUGGCGCAUUUAUGCUACCUUUGGGGUCCAUAUCCAUUGUCUGUAUGUAACUUCACUUUGUAUAUUGCUAUCAUUCACAGAUCAAUAAUUGUUUACUUUCACAGCCA